CUGAAGUGCUAUUUUAUUUCUCCAAGUAUCUUUCAGCAUCCAUGUGGUGAUCGCCAGUUUUUAGGGGCCUGUUAAUUUGCCUGUGACCGUUCGUUCAUUGCUCAAAUCUGUCAGAUGAUAUCUGACUGCUUUAAAAUAAUAACAAACACUGUAAAAUUCUUUAUAUGCAUGGUAACCUGAAGGCAGUUUACAGAUCCUGAUGUAGCUGUGUAACAAACGUGCAUAUGGUGUACAGGGACAGAUAAGAAAGUACUCCCUCGCUCUGUGGUACCUGCUGGUGAACUGCAGCUGACUCUUCAGGCAAGACACACACGUACUGGUAAAACAUGCAGUGGUAUUAAAAUAGUGCCAGUGGCAAUCAGCUCGUGAUGCGCAUUUGAGGGAGAAGGGUGAGAAAACAGCUGGCAGAUUUUUUUACUUCCAGGUGCUAACUUGUGGUUUUAUUGUCAGUGUUGGCUGCGGAUGGACGAGGAGUUGAACCCAGUUUAUGGAGUAGUCUUGCAAAGUGAAGUCCUGUUCCACACUAACAGAAGCAACACCAAAAGCACUGCUGCAAGGAGCCGCCGGGAGCUCCAGGGUGAAGAGACCUGCCUCCCCUGGGAGACCUCUGCUAAAGGUGAAGACCUCCAAGCAGACCAGGCAGAUUUAGCAGGAGCUCAGGAAUUUUACAUCAAGAGCCAGCAGCUCAUGGGAAGGAGGCAGGAAGCUGGGCCUGUGCAGGAGCCAUCUGUGAGGGCCCGGGGAGCUGCUGGGCCAUCAGGGGACAUGCAGCUGAAACUUAUUUAA
rnacentral:lncRNA from 1 species